UGGUUGGAGAUGUUCCAUGGGAGUAAGUUCUCUCUCGCAUAGCUUUCUUGUCUUACAAGGAGCACUCUUGUUUUAUCUAUUCUCAAGACUCACAAGGGUUUUUGUUCUUAUUGCAGAAUGUUUAUUUAUUCCUGCAAGAGGCUGAGAAUUGUGAGAGGAUCAGAAGGUAGAGGAUUGAGGCAUUGAGCUGUUCAUAGAAAGCUGGAGAACAUAUAAUCAUAUAUCUACCAAGAUGCAGCUAAAAAACACAGUGAUUCAGAGGAACAGACAUUAGUCUUGUGUUCCGCGAGAAGUCAGGUCUCUUGGAGAUUACAGGAGCAGAUUGAUCAGAUCAUUUUGGAAUUUUGGCUUUCGUCCUCUGGAUUUUUGAUCUUAUUAAUUUAAAGUUUAUAUACCGGGAAAAUAAUGAAGCAGCAAAAUUUUCGAGAUUCAAUUGUACAAAGGGGAAAAAAAAGCAUUAUUACUUUAUCUACAUCUCGAUAUGUAUCAUUUAGGAAUACAAAGACAGAAUUAUACUAUUUUCUUUUUUCGAGAAUUAAAUGCAUUUCAAUGAUAAAAAAUAAUAAUAUAAUGAAGACACAUGUUACCAUUACACAAAACUAUGCUUUUGCAAUUCAUUUUUUUGUUUGGAUUCAAGCCGUGGCUACAAGACUCUUGAAUGUGAUGUGAUUUUGCAACAAGGGGACAGGGAUUUUUCAGCAGGGUUCUAUACACAAGAGUAUUUCGUUCUGAAUGAAUUCACUUCAAAUCCUAAUUAAAUAGAUUACUUUAUUAAUUCUGUAUAAAGAUAAUUAUCAAACUGGAUCAUGAAUUGCCGAGCUCAUUAUAUUCUUGUGCUUCUUCGGACAAGCCGAAGCUUUUUCUUCAGUGGGUUCCCUUUUCUCCCACCGAAAGUGUGGGCUUCUUUCCUUCCCCAACCUCUAGAAGGGGUGUAGAUAUGUUUUGUGGGUUUUGUUCUUGAAAUAGCAGAUUCAGAGCUUCUCGGAAAGGGAUUUAAUAUGGUAAUCUGUUUCUAUGGUUAUAUGGGUUUGAUGUGGUUGGAUGCAGGUAUUGGCUUUGGGAGCAGAUCCAACGAGAGGUGACCAGAGGAUUAAGAGCUGGCGUUUUAGAUGCUAUUGUCGGUGCUCCAAGGCUGAAGGAGAGUGAGAUGCCAUACCCUCUAUUUCUCUUCUAUCCUAAAUCGAUGGUUUAUAGAGCACAAUAUUCCUUGAAAAGUGAUGCUAUGUUCAUUUGAGUUAUUGGGUUUCCUCUUGGUUCUAUUUAGUUGUUUCAGCAGCGCAUGAUUCUAAGGAAGCUUCUUUUCUUCUUGGUUUCCAGCAACAUCUCUGGUUCACAGGUUGUCCGACGAACAGCGUUGUGAUUUCUUUGAUCUAUGUUUGGUAAUGGGGCUAGGGGCUAAGGUUUUGCGGUUAAGGAUACUGAGCCUCUAUUGGCAGCCCUGCUAAUUGGUCAGAGAUGCUAAUGGGUAAGGGGUUCCUGUAUAAUCUGGGCUUUGACCUUCUCUUUGUAACUUUGCCUGUAUUGGGCAUUAAUGCAAUGUCUCUUGCAAUUCACAAAAAAAAAAAAAAAAAUAUUGCCGUUGAGUUACAUGCUAGAUAAGCUAAUCAAAACACGUUUCAUGCUUAUGUGUUGGGUUUGAAGGAAGAAAAAACUAAGAAAAAUGAGAGAGAUUUCCACUGAAACAGAGAUUGAUUUCUUUCUUAUUUUCACAGCUAUUUACCUCUAACAACUUUCACAUUAUCCCUCCACGCUCUUAUAUCCAGCAGAUACUUCCUUUUUAUGGGCAAAGGAAUGCCUUUUGCUAAUCAACAAAGCCCAUACUUACAUCAUGCUUAGGUAUGGCUAAAUUGCUUUUCUUGUAUUCAAACUAAAAAUCUCAUAAACCUCCAACAUUAUAUCCAAAGAGUUAUCCCUGACGAGCUAUAGGAGAAUAGAAUUGUUCUGAAUUCUGAUGCAGUCCCAUAUAAAAUGUUAAUUGGCUUGGGAGAGAAGACGGAAUUGUGGGCAACUGCAAAAUUUCCAUAAUCAUAAAAGUCUCCUACUAUCAAGAUCGAGUUACACUCAGUCUUGGCAUGUAAACACACACA
rnacentral:misc_RNA from 1 species